ensembl:lncRNA
CAAAGGCUGAUCCGCGCUAACUAAUCAAGCCGGCUCAAAUGAACCUGCGCUGGAGCAGGUUGAAGUUUUUCGAUGUGUUGCUAUGGUGAUUUAGCCAAACCUGCUUCGGGGAACCCAAAAGCCUAAUCUACGGGCUCUUAUCCUGAAAAUUAUCCGGUUAUCAACCUAUUCUGACCAGGGCAUCUCGACUACAAGGCCAUCAGACAUCCAGGCAACCUGAAAUCUGUAUCUUUUCUUUCAACCAAGCUAGUCUGCUAAAUGUGUUUAUUCUAGUGUUUUAAGUUAAUUUGAUUGCUUUAGCUCUUGCCGUUUUUACUGCCAGUUCUCUCUGUUUGAAGUUAACUUGAUUGCUAGUUUGCUCUAGCUCUUGCCGUUUCUUUUGUGCCAGUUGUUGUUGUUGUUGUAGACUCUGCUAUUAAGUUAACUGCUAGUGUGCUCUCCUAACUUUGCUAGGUUUGACCCGAUCUAACUCUGUUUUGACUUCCACUAACGAGGGAGUAUUUAACUAGAGGUUGAGUGAAGCGUUAGCUUCAGCGUUUGCAUAGCCUCGCCGUAUGAAGACGAGCUGAAGUAAGGCUAGGGAGUCUUUUGUGGGAGUCAAGACGAGCUGAACAAAGACUAGGGAGUCUUUCGUGGGAGUCAAGACGAGCUGAACAAUGACGAGGGAGUCUUUCGUGGGAGUCAAGACGAGCUGAACAAUGACGAGGGAGUCUUUCGUGGGAGUCAAGAGGAGCUGAACAAAGGCUUUGGGGCGGCUGAAUCUUUUCAGGAGCCACAAAAUCCUGAAAAUCAAAGGCCACAAGAUUCACCUCCAGCUGUCCAGGUACCUCCAAUAAAAUCCAAUUCAUGGACCCUGCUAAGGCCACAAAAUAAUGGGAGCUGCCACGAGACGCCUGCAUCAAGAGUUGGUGACACUGUCCAGUUCCCCCAGAAACAAGGACAUUCAUUCACCCGAAGGCCACAAGACAGUUCACAAAGUGGCAUCUGCAGCAAGACACUUGCAAGAGUCGACUCCUCAGCCUGUGCCAUCCUGGAGUUAUGAGGCCCUAUUUGAAACUACAACCUGUAAGUGCUAGAGCAUUUAUGUAAUUUUGAGUUUAUACUGAAUGUAUUUAUUAGUGGUGGUACAUCGCUGUUUAAAAAAGAAAACAUUUGUUUGGGAGGAAAGGGGACAAAAAGGGGGGGAGGGGACACCUCCCUCAUCUUUUUAAAAAU